GAUGAACGCUGGCGGCGUGCCUAAUACAUGCAAGUCGAGCGUACAGACGAGGAGCUUGCUCCUCUGACGUUAGCGGCGGACGGGUGAGUAACACGUGGAUAACCUACCUAUAAGACUGGGAUAACUUCGGGAAACCGGAGCUAAUACCGGAUAAUAUAUUGAACCGCAUGGUUCAAUAGUGAAAGACGGUUUUGCUGUCACUUAUAGAUGGAUCCGCGCCGCAUUAGCUAGUUGGUAAGGUAACGGCUUACCAAGGCAACGAUGCGUAGCCGACCUGAGAGGGUGAUCCGCCACACUGGAACUGAGACACGGUCCAGACUCCUACGGGAGGCAGCAGUAGGGAAUCUUCCGCAAUGGGCGAAAGCCUGACGGAGCAACGCCGCGUGAGUGAUGAAGGUCUUCGGAUCGUAAAACUCUGUUAUUAGGGAAGAACAAAUGUGUAAGUAACUAUGCACGUCUUGACGGUACCUAAUCAGAAAGCCACGGCUAACUACGUG
rnacentral:rRNA from 1 species